GUUUUUUUUGUUGUUGUUACACAUAGACACAAUAAUCCUGUAUGAUCCAUUUAAAAACAUCUCUGAAACAAGAGAGGGAAACUUUAAACAUGCUGAAGUGUUUUUAUGGCAGAAGUAUUUAGCUGGUGUUUCAUAGUGGCACAGAGAGUAGAUUUGAGAUUGAGUUGGGAUCUUGCUUGGUAGUUAUGGAGGAAAGUCAGAAGUGUAAGAGCUUUGAAAUGAUGAGUCAUCCCUGAGCCAAGGUUCAAGAUGAAGCUGUGAGAAUAAGUGACAAACAUUUGAUAAAUAUGAAGAAGACAAAGAAACUCAUUCUGGACUUUAGCCAACCACAAUUUUGGGUGGAGAAUGCACACUGAUUAAAACAUUUCCGUAGACAUUUUCAUCCUGUCCUCUGCUGACCAGCUUGGAAGAUAAAUGUGGAAUUGCUAUUUUCAGAGAGAAGAAACAGACAUAGCAAUAUGAUAAGAAUUAAACUAGAGCUGCAUACAAGAUGCUGCAGAAUAAUGAAGGAUAUAGGUACUCUCAGAGACCUUAAUUGGAAGACUAAAGGCAAUAACAUUCCCAGAGCAUGCACAGUGGCUUGGUGGUCAG
rnacentral:lncRNA from 1 species